rnacentral:rRNA from 1 species
UACGUAGGGUGCGAGCGUUGUCCGGAAUUAUUGGGCGUAAAGAGCUUGUAGGCGGUCUGUCGCGUCUGCUGUGAAAAUCCGGGGCUCAACCCCGGACUUGCAGUGGGUACGGGCAGACUAGAGUGUGGUAGGGGAGACUGGAAUUCCUGGUGUAGCGGUGAAAUGCGCAGAUAUCAGGAGGAACACCGAUGGCGAAGGCAGGUCUCUGGGCCACUACUGACGCUGAGAAGCGAAAGCAUGGGGAGCGAACAGGAUUAGAUACCCUGGUAGUCCAUGCCGUAAACGUUGGGAACUAGGUGUGGGUCUCAUUCCACGAGAUCCGUGCCGCAGCUAACGCAUUAAGUUCCCCGCCUGGGGAGUACGGCCGCAAGGCUAAA